rnacentral:tRNA from 1 species
GCCUUCGUGGUGUAGUGGUUUAGCACGCUGGGCCGGUAUUCCAGAGGUCCGUGGUUCGAUUCCCGGCGAAGGCA